rnacentral:misc_RNA from 1 species
GAAAUCUUCAAAGUAAACCUUUUGUUAAUUCAAUUGGUUCCUUACUUUGGUAUUGGAGGUCUUUGCAGUUUCACAACUGCUCCUCUUUGUUCAUUAGCUGGAUCUCAGUGUUAUGCUUGGUUCCACUCGGCGUGAUAAGUAUCUAUCGCUGAGGACACUUGUAAAAAGGUGGCCAAGGUAAAUAGCAGAUGAACCGCUUCUAACAGUCCAUUGACUUGGACAAUAAAUAUUUAUGAUCUGAUCUCAAAUCAGGUAGGACUACCCGCUGAACUUAA